rnacentral:snRNA from 1 species
GUGCUCACUUGGGCAGCACAUAUACGAAAAUUAGACCGAUACAGAGAAGAUUAUCAUGGCCCCUGCUCAAGGGUGACAUGCAAAUUCAUGAAGCGUUUCAUAUUUUU